CACAGCGAGGGUUAAGAACGGCCUCAUCUCGUGAUUCUCAACCUUGGCUGCAUACCCGAGUAUAAAACCUAUAGGAGACCAGAGCGCCUCCAGCAGCAGGACGAGUUGUUGCUUCUGAAGGCGCCGAUUGAAAACAAUGUACUUUGAGAAAGUCCUAGAUUCAGGCGGCCGAGGCCACGAAUCUGCAUUUUCCUACAGCGCGGUUCCGCCCCCGCUCCAGGAAGGUGGCGCGCGGGGCCGCGAGGGCACAGGCCCCGCCCACCAGGCGACAGGCGCUGACCCCCGGGGUUUGGCCUAAUUGGAGUUCGUGCUCAGGCUAGCUGGGACCUUCGUGAGACCCGGGGGGUUACCCUUCCUUGCAAGAUAUUAACGACACCCAACCGGGAGCAAGAAAGCCACCUACAUCUCCCGGGUGUUUACUUCCUUAAAUUGGGAGUUACUUAAGACGGCUGCGCCCCGAGCUUGCCCGAACCUGAGAAUCACGUGGGAGCCCUGUUCAACAGCCAGCCAGGCACAUUUUUGCCAUUGUGACAAUGCUGCUGGGACCAUGGUCCUUCUAACAAGUGUCGUGGUUCCUGUUGAGUUAAUGCACAUGGCCAGUGGGGUAUCAAACUUGGAACCUUGCGCUUGUGAGGCAGGCGUGGGAACUACUAAGCUAAAUCCCAGCCCAAUCCUGGCUUUUAAAAAGUGGUUACCAGAAAGACAUAGAUAAAAGUACACAAUAGCGUUGUCUGGAAUUGUGCUGGGCCUUCCUCCCUGCUGGAGUCCUCUCCCUGUGAGCUACUUCAUGAUAUCUAGGUUGCUUCUGCUGCUCUCCACUGUGAAUACAGAAGUACAAAAAUCCAUGUUUAUCCAGCUACGAAUGACUCCCCAAAGAGUAGCGGGGAUCAAACUCGGGACCUUUCGCCUGCAAGGCAGGUGGUGGAACCACUGACCUAAAUCCUGGCCCUCAUCUGAACCCAUUUUGAGCCCACACUUGCCUCACUCAGCUCCACAUGCUGGAGAUAUGAAUGAAGUCCGAGCCAGACUGGACUCAGCCAGUGAAUGAAUAGCACACAAGGCCAUUCAGAGAGGUGGGUGCCAGGAUCACAGCAGCAUGGAGAGAUGUGAUAGAGGGAGGAUAUUUGUGGGCUACUGAGUUUGGCCAGAAGUGACCGAAACAUGAACAUCAUAGCCAACCUUGGGAAGAACCAUGGGAGGACACUGCUGGAGGAAGGACUGUCAACACCCAAGACCCUAAAGUACAACCACUUUGGUGCCUUUGAAGCUAAGCAAAGAGAUUCAGUGACUAGAUAGUUCCUAGAAAAGAGAAAUAUGACACCCGAAAUUUUGAACAAAAAAAGAAAGAAAGAAAAAGGAGCCAAGCAUGGUGGGACACUGCUAUAAUCCCAGCUACUCAGGAGGCUGAGGCAGAGGAUUACAAGUUCAAGUCUUGCCUGGACAAUUUAGCAAGACCCUAAUAAAAAGGGCUGGAGAUGUAGCUCAGCAGUAGAGCACUUGCCUAGUUUCACCAGGCUCUGGGUUCCAUUCAUAACAAUGGAGAAAAAAAAUUGAAAAAAUGUUCUGACCCAUUUAAGGUUAAUUAAAUAUAAGCUAAAUUGAAAUACUGUUUUCCACUUUUCUUUUUUUUUUUCCACUUUUCUGAAUAGAAGAUUAAACAUACUGAGCAGAGCUCAGUCAUUCCACAUUUGCACUAUGCUUCUCAAACUUGCAGUGCAUAAGAAUCACUUAGGAUUUUAACUUAAAAAGCAGAUUCUGGUUCCAGUGUGUCUCAAAAGGUAGUGUGUAGACAGAUCACUGAGGGGGCCUUGCUAAAAAACAGAUCCUGAGUUCAAUGCUUAUCGAUCUUUAAUGUGCAGGAGAAUCACCUGGGGAACUUGUUAAACGUAGAUUCUGGGAAAAAACCAAAAGGAGAUCUUCAACUUAAUUAAGUAUAAGAGAAUACAAAUUAAAGCAACGUGAUUUCCUUUUUUUCUUUUCACAGAUCAGAUCAAUAAAGAUUAGGAACAUGUAUUGCAUCUACUGUUAGCAAAAGUAGAGAGACUGGUUUUCUAAUGCAUUGGUAGUGGGGAUGCAAGCAUUCAUAUGCAGUCACUCUGGAGGGUGAUUCAGCCAUGCAGUUUUUUUUUUUUUGGUACCAGGGUUUGAACUCAGGACCUUGCGCUUGCUAGGCAUGUGGUGGAACCACUGAGCUAAACCCCCGGCCCACGGCCAUACAGUUUUAACUUUACUCUGCCAUCUGUCUCUUCUCCUUCAGAGACACAUUUGGACAGGCACACACGGGGUAAUUAAUGUCCAAAGGUGUCUGUUCCCACACCUGAGAACCUACGUGCCCAACAAUAGUGGAGUGGCUGCAUUAAACCGAGGUUGGUUGUCUCAGGGAAUACAGGGCAAAAGGUGAAAAUUAUCAGUCAGAUUUAUGAAUACAGACUUGGCUAGAGCUUUAGGAUGUGGUGCAUUAAAGAAAAACAAGUUCCACAUAGAUACACAGAGGUAAACAUGUCUGAAUCUAGGCAUGUUGGGGCUGGAGUGGACAGCUCACGGUAGAGUGCAUGUUCAGCAAGCAGGAGGCUGGGGGUGUGAUCUUCAGUGCCAAAAGAAAAACUCUGUAAUUUCUAUGGUGAAAUAUAUAUAUGUAAAUCCACAGAAGAAUACUGUACUGGAAGAAUAUAUACUAGGUGCAUUUUAAGCAAGGCAGGGAGUUAUUUGGGGAAUGAAGAUUGGAAAACCUAAAUUUUGUAUGUGUGAAAGAGAAUACUAUCCUGGGCAAUGUUUAUUUUUUAGGGGAGGGGGUCCUGGAGAUUGAAGGGCCUUCUCACUAAGCUACAUCUCCAGAACCUUCUAUUUUUUUCUAAUUUUGAGACAGGGUCUUGCUAAGUCCUCUAAGACUUGAAUUUGCAAUCCUCCUGCCUCAGCCUCCUCAAGUGCUGGGAUUACAGGUGCACACCACUACAGCUUCUGGUGGUAACAAUUCUUUUAAAAAGUAGAGGGUGUACUACUUUAUAGUUAAAAAGUAAUAACUAAAACCAAUAACUAAAUCAUGGUACUUUCAUACAAAUGGAAUAAAGUCCAUGUAACCCCAACAAAAGAAAUUUUAAUACUAGUUUUGUUUUAUACACACACACACACCAAGACUUGAGCUUGUGAGUGCACAGGAGGCCAGGAAACUGGUAAUGUGAGUUGUCCCGGGGAUGAAGACAGAAGUAUCUGCCAUGAGACUGAGUGACUGACAUCUUGCUAUGGAUCCUUUCACAAGCUUUGCAGUUUUAAAAAUUUAAAUCAUAAAACCUGGACUACAGACAAGAAUGUGUAAAAACACAGUUGUGCAAUUUACAGGAUAAAACAAACACCUUUGUGGCCACCACCAGUGUAAGAUGUGGCAGGCCGCAGGAAUCCAUCAUCAGCUCCAAGUCCCUGGCUGCCCCUUCCUUCCCCUCUCUCCCGCUAUGUCUCAUUUGGUAUCAUUGUUAUCUACAAAUUUUGCCACCUAAAUAAUCUAGUGUGUAGUUUUGCCUCUUUUUGUUUUUCAACUUUGGGUAUUUUUUCCCUCCCUUUUUGUCUUUUAAGUCUUUGAGAUCCAACAUGUUGCUGCAGGCAGCUGAAGUCUGUUUAUUUUCACUCUCGCAUAAUCCUGUGCAUACACCACACUGUACACCUCCUGCCAAAAGGCUGACUCCUGCUCGGUAAUUAUGAGCAAUGUAGCCGUAUGCACUCUUGUACAGGCAUCCUGAUUCACGUGUGUACCUUUCUCUAUAUCCAGAAUCUGCAUUUGACAAGUCCCCCAGGUGAUUCUUCUGCACAUUAAACUUUGAGAAGCACUGAAAUCAGCCUCUGCCUUUUAACAAGGUCCCGGGGGAUUCUUACACACUUCGAGUUUCUACGUAGGUGUAGAGGAGCUGAGGCAUGGUGCAUACAUACUCACACCCUAGCAAAUGCUAUCUUCCAAAGUGGCUUUGUCAGUUCACAUUCGCACCCGCACAUAUUACUUUUUAAAUUAAAAAGAAAUUGGUAAAAAGUCACCAAGGCACGGUCUUGUGGAAAAGGGGGUGUGACCGCUACACAGACCCUAACUGCCUCCUCUUUCCUGUUUUCACGCCCUCGCCCGCCCCUCAUGGGUUAGGUCUGAAAUGAAAUUCUACAGAAGAGGGUUCUGUUUACACAACAGUGGGGAUCAGGACACCCUGUUUCUGGGGGCUAGGAGUGGAAGCCAGGGUUGCACACACUCUAGGCAAGUGUUUCACCACCGAGCUCCGUCCCCAGCGCAUCCCCUUUCUUUAUUGAUAGAACAGCCUCCCGUGCACCUGCUGGACCAUAGGGGCUUGGAAGUCCCUCCACUGUAAAGGCAUGUUGUCCAGAACAGACUGCCGCACUUCCGGCCCCAGGGCAGUUCGUGGCCAUGCGCGACCGGCGCGUGGUCAGUUGUCUCACCUACGUUUGCGAAGAAUGAGUUUCCCAUCCUGUGUGGCAACAGUGAAAUUGCACAAACGGUCAUCUGCACAUUCUGUUAGUGUCUCUCCCUCUUGGGAAGCACCGUGCGCCCCCACCCCCGACGUUUUCUCCUAGGGCCACCUCCAAGCCAUUCGUUUGUUCACCAAGGAUGAGUUGGGUUCCCACGGAGUGCAAGGGUGUGCUAACCUCUGGGAAUGCAGCUGCAAGUCUCUAAGGAAGGUGCCGAGCAAAAAGGGACAGAAGGCCGGAAUGUUUGUGUUCCUGCUGAACCUUAACCUCCAUGGUGAUAGUACUAAGGGGUGCGGCUCUUGGAGGUGCUGAGGUCUUAAGGAUGGAGCCUUCCUGAACGAGAUUCCUGCUCCUGUUAGAGAGGGCAGUGAGCGGCCUUGGCCUUGCACCAGGUGGGAUGCAGCUAGAAGGUGCCAUCUAUGAGAAAAUGGGUCUUCCCCAGACACAGACUGCUCUGCUGCCUCAUCUUGGACUUUCUAGUCUCCCAGGUCAUAAGCAAUGAUUUCUGUUGUCUAUAAGCCAUGCAGGCUAUGGCACUUUGUCACAGCAGCCUGAAUGGACAAAGACACCUGCUUUCCUCCUACUAAACCUUAGCCACACACAGCUUGCAGGGUGGUUCUGGAAGAUACUCAAUGGCUCCUGGACUGUGAAGCAGCCAAGCCAACAACAGCAGAGGAGGUGGCCAGGACAAUGUGGAUGGAAAGAGUGGACAUUCACACCUGGCACGCCACAUGCCAAGGGCUACAUUAGAACACAUCACAUAUGUGUUUAUCUGACCGGAAUCUGGCUCCCUUAACCACUGUGAGCCUGUUCCCUCAUGUGUAAAAUGAGAAUGAUAAUCCUACUCACCUACUGACCUUGAAUGGUUUUUGUGAGUAUUAAAAGGAAAUGCACGUGAAGGGCUUGAGAAAAAGUAAAUAAUCAAGAGAAUUAGUUAUCAUUAUUGUUAUUGGCAGUCAGCUACCAACUGCUCUUUAAAAUAUAAUCAGAAUUAUUUUUAUUGCUUUUAUUGAACACAUACAUUGUUCUAAGCAUGCUGGAGAUGCACUGGUGAGGAGACAGAGGGCCUUGAUUGGAACACUUGGCCAUGGCUUUUGUAGAAGGCCUUAAUAUGAUUCCAUCUUUAGUUGAAUUGUUUUGGGUCCUUCAACAGAGACCAGAAACUGG
ensembl:lncRNA